rnacentral:rRNA from 1 species
GUGUAGAAUGACGGUACCCGAAUAAGAAGCACCGGCUAACUACGUUGCCAGCAGCCGCGGUAAUACGUAGGGUGCGAGCGUUAAUCGGAAUUACUGGGCGUAAAGCGUGCGCAGGCGGUUUGGUAAGUCAGAUGUGAAAUCCCCGGGCUCAACCUGGGAACUGCAUUUGAGACUGCCAGGCUGGAGUUUGGCAGAGGGGGGUGGGAAUUCCACGUGUAGCAGUGAAAUGCGUAGAGAUGUGGAGGAACACCGAUGGCGAAGGACAGCCCCCUCGGGCCAAUACUGACGCUCAUUGCACGAAAGCGUGGGGAGCAAACAGGAUUAGAUACCCUGGUAGUCCACGCCCUAAACGAUGUCAACUAGGUGUUGGAGGGUUAAACCUUUUAGUGCCGUAGACUAACGCGUGAAGUUGACCGCCUGGGGAGUACGGCCGCAAGGCUAAAACUCAAAGGAAUUGACGGGG